rnacentral:lncRNA from 1 species
UAUUCUAUAUAUACGCCCCAUUUUUCUCUCCGAAAAAGAGACGAUCGCAUACGAUCAAAUUCGUAAGAACCCACGAAAUAUCUUCCUUUUUCUCUCUCUUCUUCCUCUCUGGGAUUUCCACCUACGUUCCCGGGGUUUUGGAGUGUGGACAUAGAAGAGGACUCUGGUAGCCCUCUUCGAUUGGCAUCCGUCGCAUUAGAUCCGCAUCCAAUCGGUGGCGUAAAGCGUACGCGAAGGAGAAGGCGAGAAACGUGGGAGAUCCAGAAGUUUCAAGGCAAGGACGAUCCAAGAAGGCUUGUAAAACAAGCAAUCCUAUCCGAUUUGGGUUCCCGGAUACGUUGGCUAUCCAGUUUGUAAGUUUCCGCUGCUUAUAAUUUCCAACACACAAGAAUUUCCAAUUAUCUCAGCUUCUUGGAUGAUCUCCUCCAUUAUUGAAGAACUUUGAACGCCAACUUCGUUACUCUCCAUCGUUGGAAUGUCAUACAAAUCACGCGGUAUUGUCUUAAUUACAAAAUGCCACUUUGGAUCGUUAAUAUCUUCCACGUAGUAAACUUGUUGCCAAAGCCUUAGGAGCUAGUUGUGUUUCCUUUUCCCCAUUAAAUAAUUUUUUAUCUUUUCGCCAUUUAUGACCAGGUGGCAAAAAGCGACGACGACCCAUAUAGCAAAAUUUCUUGCCAUGCCUUAACUAGGAGGAAGCAGUGUCUUUAUUAUAGCAAGGACAUGCUAGUUUUUCUUUUGUGCUCCAACCUAAUAAAUUGGCAUAUGCUUGAAAGUCACUUAUGGUCCAAAGUAUUGCGGCACGCAUUUUGAAAUUCUCUUUCUUGGAUAAAUCAUAUGUCUCAACCCCCGUUUCCCACAACUCCUUCAAUUCCUCAAAAAGAGGUGCCAUGUAUACAUCUAUGUCAUUUCCAGGAGCCUUUGGACCAGGAAUAAUUAAAGAUAUCAUAAAAAAAUCACUCUUCAUGCACAUCC